UUUUUCGUGAGCAACGGUUUUUCGUUGCUUACAGGUAUACAUUAAAUUACCUAUUACAGCGGCUGCACCCGUGCCCGUUAUCCUGUUUAUCUUUAAACCACAAUGCACUUCAAACAAUCGAAAUUCAAUCGUUUAAUUUUGUAAUUUCGUUGCUUACAAAUGAUACAAGGGAACUUAAUGUGUCCCUUCUGCAUCCUACCC